GGGCAUGUGGUGUAGUUGGUUAUCACGCUCGCUUAGCAUCUUAAAACGCUUGCGAGAGGGGUCCGGUUCAAUCCCGGACAUGUCCA